rnacentral:rRNA from 1 species
GACGUAGGGGGCCAGCGUUGUUCGGAAUUACUGGGUGUAAAGGGUCAGUAGGCGGUGUGGCAAGUUGGGAGUGAAAUCUAUGGGCUCAACCCAUAGGCUGCUUCCAAAACUGCUGUGCUUGAGUGUGGGAGAGGCGCGUGGAAUUGCAGGUGUAGCGGUGAAAUGCGUAGAUAUCGGGAGGAACACCUGAGGCGAAGGCGGGCUACUGGGCCGAUACUGACGCUGAUGCGCGAAAGCCAGGGGAGCGAACGGG